rnacentral:rRNA from 1 species
CAGCCGCCACGGUAAUACAGAGGGUGCGAGCGUUAAUCGGAUUUACUGGGCGUAAAGCGUGCGUAGGCGGCUUUUUAAGUCGGAUGUGAAAUCCCUGAGCUUAACUUAGGAAUUGCAUUCGAUACUGGGAAGCUAGAGUAUGGGAGAGGAUGGUAGAAUUCCAGGUGUAGCGGUGAAAUGCGUAAAGAUCUGGAGGAAUACCGAUGGCGAAGGCAGCCAUCUGGCCUAAUACUGACGCUGAGGUACGAAAGCAUGGGGAGCAAACAGGAUUAGAUCCCCUGUAGUCCCUGUCUCUUAUACA